UACGGAGGGUGCAAACGUUGCUCGGAAUCAUUGGGCGUAAAGCGCACGUAGGUGGCUUGUUAAGUCGGGUGUGAAAUCCCUGGGCUCAACCCAGGAAGUGCACUCGAAACUGGCGAGCUUGAGUACUGAAGAGGGUCGCGGAAUUCCCGGUGUAGAGGUGAAAUUCGUAGAUAUCGGGAGGAAACACCAGUGGCGAAGGGCGGCGACCUGGGCCAGAUACUGACACUGAGGUGCGAAAGCGUGGG
rnacentral:rRNA from 1 species